rnacentral:lncRNA from 1 species
CUCUCCCCAACUUUAGAUUCCAAAACCAAAUUUAUUCAAUAAUGCUCCCUACUUAGACAUAAGCAAAAGGCAAAAUUCGCAAACAACUCGGUUUGAGGGUUCAAUUGACACGAAAAAAAUUAGGAUUCAUUUAUUCACAAAAUUUUCAAUUGAUUUUACACUUAUCAAUCAAAUGAAUCCUAAAGUAAGCUCAAAGGGGGUUAACUAAGGAUUACUCCUCACAAGGUUCGUU